CCUACGGGGGGCAGCAGUGGGGAAUAUUGGACAAUGGGGGGAACCCUGAUCCAGCCAUGCCGCGUGUGUGAAGAAGGCCCUCGGGUUGUAAAGCACUUUCAGUGAGGAAGAACGCCUGGUGGUUAAUACCCAUCAGGAAAGACAUCACUCACAGAAGAAGCACCGGCUAACUCCGUGCCAGCAGCCGCGGUAAUACGGAGGGUGCGAGCGUUAAUCGGAAUUACUGGGCGUAAAGCGCGCGUAGGUGGCUUGAUAAGCCGGUUGUGAAAGCCCCGGGCUCAACCUGGGAACGGCAUCCGGAACUGUCAAGCUAGAGUGCAGGAGAGGAAGGUAGAAUUCCCGGUGUAGCGGUGAAAUGCGUAGAGAUCGGGAGGAAUACCAGUGGCGAAGGCGGCCUUCUGGACUGACACUGACACUGAGGUGCGAAAGCGUGGGUAGCAAACAGGAUUUAGAUACCCCGGUAGUC
rnacentral:rRNA from 1 species